rnacentral:rRNA from 1 species
GACGAACGCUGGCGGCGUGCUUAAUACAUGCAAGUCGAACGAACAGACCCUGCUUUUGUGGGUUGCUCGUUUGGCGAACGGGUGAGUAACACGUGAGGAAACUCCCCUUGUCUUUGUGAGAACUCCAGGAAACUGGGGCUAAUACAGGAUAGGAUCUCCUGCACCGUGGGGUGGGUUGGAAAGUUUCGGCGGUUGUGGAUGGACUCGCUGCUUAUCAGCUGGUUGGUGGGGUAGUGGCUUACAAAGGUUUUGACGGGUAGCCGGCCUGGGAGCGUGACCGGGCACCUUGGGACUGCGAUACGGACCAGAAUCCUACGGGAGGCAGUAGUGGGGAAUAUUGCACAAUGGGCGGAAGCCUGAUGCAGCAACGCCGCGUGCGGGAUGCUGGCCUUCGGGUUGUAAACAGCUUUCGCAUGUGAUGAACAGUGCGUGACGGUAAUGGGUAAAGAAGCACCGGCUAACUACGUG